GAUGAACGCUGGCGGCGUGCCUAAUACAUGCAAGUCGAGCGAACGGACGAGAAGCUUGCUUCUCUGAUGUUAGCGGCGGACGGGUGAGUAACACGUGGAUAACCUACCUAUAAGACUGGGAUAACUUCGGGAAACCGUAGCUAAUACCGGAUAAUAUUUUGAACCGCAUGGUUCAAAAGUGAAAGACGGUCUUGCUGUCACUUAUAGAUGGAUCCGCGCUGCAUUAGCUAGUUGGUAAGGUAACGGCUUACCAAGGCAACGAUGCAUAGCCGACCUGAGAGGGGGCUCGGCCACACUGGAACUGAGCCCCGGCCCAGAACCCUACGGGAGGAAGAAGGAGGGAAUCUUCCGCAAGGGGGGAAAGCCUGACGGAGCAACGCCGGGGGAGGGAUGAAGGUCUUCGGAUCGUAAAACUCUUUUAUUAGGGAAAAACAUAUGUGUAAGUAACUGUGCACAUCUUGACGGUACCUAAGCAGAAAGCCACGGCUAACUACGG
rnacentral:rRNA from 1 species